rnacentral:rRNA from 1 species
UACAGAGGUCCCAAGCGUUGUUCGGAUUCACUGGGCGUAAAGGGUGCGUAGGCGGUCGGGUAAGUCUGACGUGAAAUCUCCAAGCUCAACUUGGAAACUGCGUUGGAUACUAUCCGGCUCGAGGAAUGGAGGGGAGACUGGAAUACUUGGUGUAGCAGUGAAAUGCGUAGAUAUCAAGUGGAACACCAGUGGCGAAGGCGAGUCUCUGGACAUUUCCUGACGCUGAGGCACGAAAGCCAGGGGAGCAAACGGG